GUCCAGCUGACGAGUCGCAAAUAGGAGGAAACGUGCGUCCUGGAU
rfam:Schistosoma rodhaini strain Burundi genome assembly, scaffold: SROB_scaffold0001918